rnacentral:tRNA from 1 species
GCCUGGGGGGCUCAGUUGGUUGAGCGUCUGACUUCGGCUCAGGUCACGAUUCACAGUCUGUGGGUUCGAGCCCCGCGUCGGGCU